rnacentral:rRNA from 1 species
AUUGAACGCUGGCGGCAGGCCUCACACAUGCAAGUCGAGCGGAUCGGCGGACGGGUGAGUAAUGCCUAGGAAUCUGCCUGGUAGUUGGGGAUAACGUCCGUCCACGGUCGCUAAUACCGCAUACUAUCAGAUGAGCCUAGGUCUGAUUAGCUAGUUGUGUGGGUAAAGGCCUACCAAGGCGACGAUCCGUAACUGGUCUGAGAGGAAGAUCAGUACCACUGGAACUGAGACACGGUCAAGACUACUACGGGAGGCAGCAGGGGGGAAUAUUGGACAAGGGGCGAAAGCCUGAUCCAGCCAUGCCGCGGAUGUGAAGAAGGUCUUCGGAUUGUAAAGCACUUUAAGUUGGGAGGCGUUACCAACAGAAUAAGCACCGGCUAACUUCGUGCCAGCAGCCGCGGUAAUUC